AACGAACGCUGGCGGCAUGCCUAACGCAUGCAAGUCGAACGAGACCUUCGGGUCUAGUGGCGCACGGGUGCGUAACGCGUGGGAACCUGCCCUUAGGUUCGGAAUAACUCCCCGAAAGGGGUGCUAAUACCGGAUAAUGUCUUCGGACCAAAGAUUUAUCGCCUUUGGAUGGUCCCGCGUUGGAUUAGCUAGUUGGUAGGGUAAAAGCCUACCAAGGCGACGAUCCAUAGCUGGUCUGAGAGGAUGAUCAGCCACACUGGGACUGAGACACGGCCCAGACUCCUACGGGAGGCAGCAGUGGGGAAUAUUGGACAGUGGGCGAAAGCCUGAUCCAGCAAUGCCGCGUGAGUGAUGAAGGCCUUAGGGUUGUAAAGCUCUUUUACCCGGGAUGAUAAUGACAGUACCGGGAGAAUAAGCUCCGGCUAACUCCGUG
rnacentral:rRNA from 1 species